AGCAAGGGUUGGCCGGCCAUGUGCUAUUUUAGGUGGUGUGAACCCAACUUAAUAAAGAUAAAAUCUCAUUUUAACUAAGUCAAGUCAAGUGGGCAAGUGGGAGGAAAACACUUGAGUGUUUUUGAGAUAAAUUAGAUAGUAUAUAACUCUUCCAUCCCUCCCCAACCGACCACACCACCCUCUCUCAUUCACUCAUCUGAUUUUUUUAAGACCAUUCAAAGUGUUCUCUCAAUAUUCAACCUCAAGAACACCAAGGAAAGCUUGGAGGCUAAGUCUUGGUCUAGGAAGUAUUUUCCCUAAGUUGGUUAGGGAUUUUGAAAGGUUUUGGAGGAGCCAAAGCUAAUAGGAAGGUCCAAACCUUAAGCAAGAACACCAAAGAGUAUUGGCUAAGCGUAACUGGACUGAACGUUGGAGGGUGAAAACCUGCUGAGCGCUAAGGACUCCAAGUAAGUGCAAGGGCAAGGCAGAGCAGUGAGCGCUGGAGUCUUCCUUGCAAAUGUACAUGUGGACCGACCUUUUGGGAAGCCGUUUUAUUUUUGGAAAUGUUGUGUAAUUUUCCUAAGCAAGGCUCACCCUAAUCUUUAUAAAACAUGUUUGUAACUAAAUGUUAAGUAUGGCCAUACGACUUUUUAAAAAGUUUUUUUUUCUAUGGGUUUUUGAGACAUUUUGUUAAAUGAAAACAUUUAUAU